CGGUGGAGCAUGUGGUUAAUUCGAAGCAACGCGAAGAACCUUACCAGGUCUUGACAUCCCGAUGCUAUUCUAGAGAUAGAAAGUUACUUCGGUACAUCGGUGACAGGUGGUGCAUGGUUGUCGUCAGCUCGUGUCGUGAGAUGUUGGGUUAAGUCCCGCAACGAGCGCAACCCCUAUUGUUAGUUGCCAUCAUUCAGUUGGGCACUCUAGCGAGACUGCCGGUAAUAAACCGGAGGAAGGUGGGGAUGACGUCAAAUCAUCAUGCCCCUUAUGACCUGGGCUACACACGUGCUACAAUGGUUGGUACAACGAGUUGCGAGUCGGUGACGGCGAGCUAAUCUCUUAAAGCCAAUCUCAGUUCGGAUUGUAGGCUGCAACUCGCCUACAUGAAGUCGGAAUCGCUAGUAAUCGCGGAUCAGCACGCCGCGGUGAAUACGUUCCCGGGCCUU
rnacentral:rRNA from 1 species